GGCUCCCCAGAGUGUAUCUCCUGCCCAGAUGAGCUGGCUGAGAAGGAUGAUCAGAGGAAUGAGGAGGAUGAGAAACUUCAUCAGCAAAUGCCAGAUAGAGUUGAAAAUGAAGACUUGAAAGAAAAUGUCAUCAGUCGAGGCAGACUU